CCUACGGGUGGCAGCAGUGAGGAAUAUUGGUCAAUGGUCGCGAGCCUGAACCAGCCAAGCCGCGUGAGGGAUGAAGGUCCAAAGUAUCGUAAACCUCUUUUGUCAGGGAACAAAGGCGGGGACGUGUCCCCUGAUGAGUGUACCUGAAGAAAAAGCAUCGGCUAACUCCGUGCCAGCAGCCGCGGUAAUACGGAGGAUGCGAGCGUUAUCCGGAUGUAUUGGGUUUAAAGGGUGCGCAGGCGGUCUGUUAAGUCAGCGGUAAAAGAGCGGGGCUCAACCCCGUCCAGCCGUUGAAACUGGCAGUCUUGAGUUGGAGAGAAGUAUGCGGAAGGCGCGGUGUAGCGGGGAAAUGCAUAGAUAUUGCGCAGAACUCCGAUUGCGAAGGCAGCAUGCCGGCGCCACACUGACGCUGAGGCACGAAAGCGUGGGUAUCGAACAGGAUUAGAUACCCUUGUAGUC
rnacentral:rRNA from 1 species